rnacentral:rRNA from 1 species
CCUACGGGAGGCAGCAGUGAGGAAUAUUGGUCAAUGGCCGAUAGGCUGAACCAGCCAAGUCGCGUGAGGGAUGACGGCCCUACGGGUUGUAAACCUCUUUUGUCGGGGAGCAAGACCCGCCACGAGUGGCGGAGCGAGAGUACCCGAAGAAAAAGCAUCGGCUAACUCCGUGCCAGCAGCCGCGGUAAUACGGAGGAUGCGAGCGUUAUCCGGAUUUAUUGGGUUUAAAGGGUGCGCAGGCGGCGAGUUAAGUCAGCGGUAAAAUUUCCGGGCUCAACCCGGGCCGGCCGUUGAAACUGGGGAUC